rnacentral:tRNA from 1 species
GGAGAGAUGGCCGAGCUGGUCGAAGGCGCUCGACUCGAAAUCGAGUAGACCGUUAGUAGCGGUCUCGUGGGUUCGAAUCCCACUCUCUCCGCCA